CAGCACUGCUGACUGCAGCUGAGUGGAUGGCUGGAAGUGAAAUAUUUUGGUCACUGUAGUAAUUGCAGUAACCCUACCUUCCAGAAGGACUUCAGGCUUUUGCCCCGGGGCCCCUAACCAGGCUUUGAUACCUCCCUUGGCUUUUUCUGUUCUGUCUUUCUGUUUUUCUGUCUUUCCUGCCUCUUACCAGCUCCUCCGUGACUGCCGCAGCUGGUUUGCUGGACGUUAUCCUUACUGCUCUGCGAAUGCUUUGCUAACUAAAUUCACGGGUUCCCUUCUCCCCUUUUCUCCCGCAGAAGUUGAUGAUAAUACAGAAGAGUCGGAUGAAAGCUGUGUUUUGGCUUUCUCUGCAAGCUUUCAGUUCACUGCCUGCGAGUCUCUCGGUCUCAGGAGUGGCAGCUGCUGGUUUGAUUCCAUUUGUGAAACGCGGAGUACUCGAAGGGAGGUGCCGGUUGGAAAUGACCGAAGGCAUUCUGAAGCAUCCUCCAACAACCUGCCAGCAGCAUCUUCCAUCAGCUCCGAGGAGGAAGCAAAUGGACUGAGAAGAAGGGGCCAUUAGCAGUGAUUGCACAACCUGACCUCUUUGAUUGGGCGGCAUUUAUUCCAUGUUGAUGUGAUCAGAAAUAUCAGCCAAUUUAUUAAGUUCUGAAGCAGCAUGGCCAAAGCUCAUCCUUAAUCUCUAUCCCAUUUCCUGGUCUCCUGCCAGAAGAGAUCCUGACUGCA
rnacentral:lncRNA from 1 species